UGUUAGCCUGUUAGCCUGUUAGCUUAGCUCAGAGUGUAAACCGGAUGUUGACACAGACGGCUAACAUGCUAAGCUACAAUAGAAUCCUCCAUUUUGGAUUCUCUGGCUCUCUGUCCAAUCAGAGCUGAGCUCUGUCAGGGUCGUUUGUUAUUGGUCAGCUUUGGAGUCCGUUAGCAUGUUAGCUUUAGCUUCAGUCCGUUAGCAUGACAUGAGCUAAGCUCUGUUAGCUUGUCUGGUGGCGGGUCCGCCUCGCUGUGUGAUCUGUGUUUUAUGUUUCCAGGUCACGUGACUCUCUGGAGCGUGUCCAGCACAUUUCAUCAGACGAUAACGGAGGAAUGUUUGAGACACGAGGACGGCGUGUAGCUUCAUGCUUCAUCCAACAUCAGAGAGGAAUGUACACACACACACACACACACACACACACACACACAGCACAACCAGCCAAUAAGAAUGUUUUAGCUUAGCAUCAGUCUGUUAGCAUGUUUGUUUUGUGUUUUCAGGCGUCUGAUUGGUCGACAUGUUCACUGACCUGUGUGUGUGUGUGUGUGUGUGUGUGUGUGUCUGUGUGUGUGUGAGAGAGAGUGUGAAUAUUUGUUCCAUGAUGUCAGUGUGUGUGAGGAGAAACACAAACUGUGGAGACGACGGACUGAACCAACAACUGCAGUAACACUUGAAGUACUGUGAGGUACUGUGAGCUGUAUCGUCGCCUGAAGCUCUCUGGUUUCAUCUUUUCUCCACAUUGAUCCACAUGUUCAAAACUUUCAACCUUUACACAGCUGACAGAAGAAGAAGAAGAAGAAGAAGAAGAAGAAGAAGAAGAAGAAGAAGAAGAAGAAGAAGAAGAAGAGGAAGAAGAAGAAGAAGGUGAUGAUGUCAUGAACGCAGAAAACAAACAGGAAGUUAGUUUGAGUGUUUCCUCUCAGCCGAGUGUGAGGACAGUGAACGCAUCACGAUGACAUCACAGUGACGCAUUUAAAAAUGAACCAGCUUCCUGAUGACAGACGACGGCGUGACACAGAUCCAUCUGUCUGCUCCACUCCUGACCCUGGUCCUGGUCCUGGUCCUGGUCUUGGUCCUGAUCCCCGUCCAGUUUUAAUGAAACCGUUUGAUUGUUUUCUGAUCAGAUAAUUAAAGGUUGAAUGUUUGAUGUCAGAUUAUUAAUUUAUUUUAUUAUUUAUUGAUGCGUUAUAGUUUUUGUUUCCAUUCGUGCCUUUUUGUUGCUGCUUCGUUAAGUCGCCUCAUUAAUUAUUCAUGUCAUUAUUUCUGUUUGCUGAGCGGGCCUCACCUGUUUACCUGCACACCUGUUUACCUGUACACCUGCCAACAAUAAACGUCUUCUUUUGAGCAGUGA